GGUUGGCGAGGUGGCGGAGCUUGGGGUGUAGGAUAGAGAGUCUCAUUGGUGGGAACUGGCAAAGCAACUCCUCCGUGCUGACUUUUCCGCAGAAUUCCCGCAAAGGUGUUUUCUGCUGAAAUCCUCCAAACACCGGGGGACCCGCCCCAUAAGCUGUUCUAUUCCCCUCCGUCUGCAGCGGCUCUGCCUGCCCAGCCUUCUCCUGGCAUCGCAAGGGCUAAACUGCAACGUCCUUCCUACAAAGUCUCUGGAAAGCUGCGGUAAUCCCUACUCCGUCCUGUAGGCACGUUCAAGGCCAUUGAAACUACUAAUUUAGCUCUCAGAACGUACGUUGGUGAGCAUCGGGGGGGGAUGGGGGAGGGGGAUCCUUUACCCCCCCCCCCCCAUCCUGCUUCUAAAGGGACGUGAGGAAGUGUAAAAACAAAAACGCAGCUCGGGAUCUGAAGCUGAGCUAGUGCAGCCUGCGGGGGAUGCUGCGGUCACACACCGGAGGCCGGGGACGGCUUGCUGGCAG
rnacentral:lncRNA from 1 species